AUUGCCUACGGGACGCAGCAGUUUGUACUCUUGCACCAUGGUUUAAACCCUGAUGCAGCAACGCCGCGUGAGUGAUGACGGCCUUCGGGUUGUAAAGCUCUGUCUUCAGGGACGAUAAUGACGGUACCUGAGGAGGAAGCCACGGCUAACUACGUGCCAGCAGCCGCGGUAAUACGUAGGUGGCGAGCGUUGUCCGGAUUUACUGGGCGUAAAGGGAGCGUAGGCGGACCUUUAAGUGAGAUGCGAAAUACUCGGGCUCAACUUGAGUGCUGCAUUUCAAACUGGAAGUCUAGAGUGCAGGAGAG
rnacentral:rRNA from 1 species